rfam:Ictidomys tridecemlineatus contig002274, whole genome shotgun sequence.
GGCAUUGUGGCUCAGUGACAGAGUGCUUAUCUCGAAAGUAUGAGGUACUGGGUUCCAUCCUCAGCAACCA